GAUGAACGCUGGCGGCGUGCCUAAUACAUGCAAGUCGAGCGAACGGACGAGAAGCUUGCUUCUCUGAUGUUAGCGGCGGACGGGUGAGUAACACGUGGAUAACCUACCUAUAAGACUGGGAUAACUUCGGGAAACCGGAGCUAAUACCGGAUAAUAUUUUGAACCGCAUGGUUCAAAAGUGAAAGACGGUCUUGCUGUCACUUAUAGAUGGAUCCGCGCUGCAUUAGCUAGUUGGUAAGGUAACGGCUUACCAAGGCAACGAUGCAUAGCCGACCUGAGAGGGUGAUCGGCCACACUGGAACUGAGACACGGUCCAGAGUCCUGCGGGAGGCCGCAGUAGGGAAUCUUCCGCAAUGGGCGAAAGCCUGACGGAGCAACGCCGCGUGAGUGAUGAAGGUCUUCCGAUCGUAAAACUCUCUUAUUAGGGAAGAACAUAUGUGUACGUAACUGUGCACAUCUUGACGGUACCUAAUCAGAAAGCCCCGGCUAACUACGUG
rnacentral:rRNA from 1 species